AUUGAACGCUGGCGGCAGGCCUAACACAUGCAAGUCGAGCGAGCGUCGGACGGGUGUGUAUUGUAUGGGGAACUGUCCGAUAGAGAGGGAUAACUCCUGGAAACGCUGUCUAAUACCGCAUAUUCUCGGAUGUACGCAUAUGGGAUUAGCUAGUUGGUAGGGUAACGGCGUACCUAGGCGACGCUCCCUAGCUGGUCUGAGAGGAUGAUCAGCCACACUGGAACUGAGACACGGUCCAGACUCCUACGGGAGGCAGCAGUGGGGAAUAUUGCACAAUGGGCGCAAGCCUGAUGCAGCCAUGCCGCGUGUAUGAAGAAGGCCUUCGGGUUGUAAAGUACUUUCAGUCGGGAGGCGUUACCGACAGAAGAAGCACCGGCUAACUCCGUGCCAGCAGCCGCGGUAAUAC
rnacentral:rRNA from 1 species